CUCUAAAAUUUCUCAAAAACAGAAUCAUAGAUGCGCAUCAUGUUAGAACACGUGCGCCUGCAAAACAAUCAUGCAAAAAGAUCAAAUGGGCCCUGCCAAAAAUGUAUAAACAAUUCUACUUUUAUUUUUUAUUAGUGAAGCUAGAACCACUUGUUAUUUUAGUACAUGGCACAUUUGAUCAUAUUUUCAUGACUGUUUGCAGGUGCAUAUGUUCUAACAUUAUGCACAUCUAUGUUUUUUCUGAGAAUUUUUUUACAUGCACA